rnacentral:rRNA from 1 species
GGCUCAGGACGAACGCUGGCGGCGUGCUUAACACAUGCAAGUCGAGCGGAAAGGCCCCUUCGGGGGUACUCGAGCGGCGAACGGGUGAGUAACACGUGGGUAAUCAACCCCUGACAUCGGGAUACCCCGGGGAAACCCGGAUCAAUACCGGAUAAGGUGCGGAGACGUCGGUCGCCGUACCAAAGGUAGCUUCGGCCUCCGGUCAGGGACGAGCCCGCGGCCCAUUAGCUUGUUGGCGGGGUAACGGCCCACCAAGGCGACGAUGGGUAGCUGGUCUGAGAGGACGAUCAGCCACACUGGGACUGAGACACGGCCCAGACUCCUACGGGAGGCAGCAGUGGGGAAUCUUGCGCAAUGGGCGGAAGCCUGACGCAGCAACGCCGCGUGCGGGAAGAAGGCCUUCGGGUCGUAAACCGCUUUCAGCGGGGACGAAGCUUCCGGGGUGAAUAGCCCACGGGGUGACGGUACCCGCAGAAGAAGCCCCGGCUAACUACGUGCCAGCAGCCGCGGUAAUACGUAGGGGGCGAGCGUUGUCCGGAUUCAUUGGGCGUAAAGCGCGUGUAGGCGGUCUGGUAGGUCUCGUGUCAAAUCCUGCGGCUCAACCGCAGUCCGCACGGGAAACCACCUUACUAGAGUCCGGAAGAGGAGAGCGGAAUUCCAGGUGUAGCGGUGAAUGCGCAGAUAUCUGGAAGAACACCAGUGGCGAAGGCGGCUCUCUGGGACGGUACUGACGCUGAGACGCGAAAGCGUGGGGAGCGAACAGGAUUAGAUACCCUGGUAGUCCACGCUGUAAACGAUGGGCGCUAGGUGUGGGGGGUGUCGACUCCCUCCGUGCCGNGAGCUACGCAAUAAGCGCCCCGCCUGGGGAGUACGGCCGCAGGCUUAAACUC